rnacentral:tmRNA from 1 species
GGAAGCGGUUUAGGACGAAAUAAAACAUCGACUAUGUCUGUAGUAACGGUCAGGUAGUGUUUUCGGACGCCGGUUCGAUUCCGGCCACCUCCAUUG